CUUCAAACGAUCACUACUUUUGUAGAAACCCGACGUCUUACUUUUUUUUUUUUUUUAAAUGACAUUUUUCACAGCUUGAAAAAUGCAUCUUCUCACAUAUGUACACGAUCUGUACAAAACCCUCAUGAUUCUGAAUUUCUUAAGUCUUACUUUGACUGUACUUCCAUGAAAAUGUCAAUUACAUCCACAGAGGACCUUUGAACGUCUCUCGGUUGGCACAGUGCCAGUGCUUCGUUGCUACUGAAUAUUUUAUGGCAGAGUUUUACCUCAUGACCUCAUGUAAAAUGUCACACUACACAUUUUAUGAUGCGUUUACGACAGUUUACAUGCUCUUAGAAAAAUGGUUCUUCAAGGGUUCUUUCCGUAUACUCGAGAGUUCCUAGCUAAGUUUGGAACGUUUGAAGGUGUGUUCAAAUGAAGAAACCUUAAGACUGUACAUCACGACGCGUUUUAAUGCGGUUUCGUCUUCCAAGUCACACCUUUUUCAGAACUAUCUUUAAAAAAAAACUUCUUAUAUGUAGUGUCCAUGUCUUGCAAGUGCGCUAGUGUCUUCGCCGAGUCACAGCCCCAGAACUCGAGAUACUGUCUCCUUGUCUGUAUGGGUUUCCUCUGGGUUUUUCCAGUUUCCUUCUAAAAGCAUGCCAGUAGAUGGGCUUUAAAUUUCACUUAAAUUAGUGUAUGAAUGUGUGAGUGUGUGUGUGUGUGUGUGUGUGGUGCCCUUUAAUGGACUAGCUUUCCAUCCAGGGUGUCCCCACCUCACACCCAGUGAUCCUGGGAUAGAACCCAGAUCCACAGCAGCCCUGACAAGCUUAUAGGGUCGCGGGGAGCCUGGAGCCCAACCCAGGGGUCUCGGGGCACAAGGCGGGGGACACCCGGGACAGGAAGCCAGCCCAUCACAGGGCACAAUCACACACAUAUUCACACACUAUGGACAAUUUGGACACGCCAAUCAGCCUACAAUGCACGUCUUUUGACUGGGGAAAGAAACCGGAGUACCCGGAGGAAACCCAGAAAGCACGGGAAGAACAUGCAAGCUCCAUGCAAGCGCACAUAGGGCGGAGGCGUGAUUCGAACCUCCGACCCCGGAGAUGCGAGGUAAACGUUCUAACCCCAGUACACAACUAAUCCAAGUCCAUCCAUCCAUCCCUGCUUCUAUGAGACUAUCCCAGGGAGCAUGGGGCACAAGGCGGGGUACACCCUCGACAGGGUGCCAGUCCAUAACUAAUCAAAUUUAUUUUCAAAACCCUUUAUCGCGUUUUUACAUUUUAGAUCUCACUACAGAAUUGUAAUGAACUGUUAUGCAUUGUACCUGUUGCUAUGAUUAACCGGCACGGACAUCAAAUAGAUCAUUGAAUAAACGAAUAAAAAAAUGAACGGAUGA